rnacentral:rRNA from 1 species
UCCCGCCGGAGGUCAUUGCUAUUGGGGUCCGAUUUAGCCAUGCUAGUUGCACGAGUUCAUACUCGUGGCGAAAAGCUCAGUAACACGUGGCCAAACUACCCUACAGAGAACGAUAACCUCGGGAAACUGAGGCUAAUAGUUCAUACGGGAGUCAUGCUGGAAUGCCGACUCCCCGAAACGCUCAGGCGCUGUAGGAUGUGGCUGCGGCCGAUUAGGUAGACGGUGGGGUAACGGCCCACCGUGCCGAUAAUCGGUACGGGUUGUGAGAGCAAGAGCCCGGAGACGGAAUCUGAGACAAGAUUCCGGGCCCUACGGGGCGCAGCAGGCGCGAAACCUUUACACUGCACGCAAGUGCGAUAAGGGGACCCCAAGUGCGAGGGCAUAUAGUCCUCGCUUUUCUCGACUGUAAGGCGGUCGAGGAAUAAGAGCUGGGCAAGACCGGUGCCAGCCGCCGCGGUAAUACCGGCAGCUCAAGUGAUGACCGAUAUUAUUGGGCCUAAAGCGUCCGUAGCCGGCCACGAAGGUUCAUCGGGAAAUCCGCCAGCUCAACUGGCGGGCGUCCGGUGAAAACCACGUGGCUUGGGACCGGAAGGCUCGAGGGGUACGUCCGGGGUAGGAGUGAAAUCCUGUAAUCCUGGACGGACCACCGAUGGCGAAAGCACCUCGAGAAGACGGAUCCGACGGUGAGGGACGAAAGCUAGGGUCUCGAACCGGAUUAGAUACCCGGGUAGUCCUAGCUGUAAACGAUGCUCGCUAGGUGUGGCACAGGCUACGAGCCUGUGCUGUGCCGUAGGGAAGCCG